rnacentral:rRNA from 1 species
AACGAACGCUGGCGGCAGGCCUAACAUAUGCAAGUCGAACGGGACCUUCGGGUCUAGUGGCGGACGGGUGAGUAACGCGUGGGAACGUGCCCUUUGGUUCGGAAUAGCCCCGGGAAACUGGGAGUAAUACCGGAUAAGCCCUACGGGGGAAAGAUUUAUCGCCAAAGGAUCGGCCCGCGUUGGAUUAGGUAGUUGGUGGGGUAAUGGCCUACCAAGCCGACGAUCCAUAGCUGGUUUGAGAGGAUGAUCAGCCACACUGGGACUGAGACACGGCCCAGACUCCUACGGGAGGCAGCAGUGGGGAAUCUUAGACAAUGGGGGAAACCCUGGUCUAGCCAUGCCGCGUGAUCGAUGAAGGCCUUAGGGUUGUAAAGAUCUUUCAGUGGGGAAGAUAAUGACUGUACCCACAGAAGAAGCCCCGGCUAACUCCGUGCCAGCAGCAGCCGCAG